GGAGUCAGGGGGUGAGACGGGUCAGAGGUGGAGUCAGAGGGUGAGACGGGUCAGAGGUGGAGUCAGGGGUGAGACGGGUCAGAGGUGGAGUCAGGGGUGAGACGGGUCAGAGGUGGAGUCAGGAGGUGAGACGGGUCAGAGGUGGAGUCAGGAGGUGAGACGGGUCAGAGGCGGAGUCAGGGGGUGAGACGGGUCAGAGGUGGAGUCAGGAAGUGAGACGGGUCAGAGGUGGAGUCAGGGGGUGAGAUGGGUCAGAGGUGGAGUCAGGGGGUGAGACGGGUCAGAGGUGGAGUCAGGAGGUGAGACGGGUCAGAGGCGGAGUCAGGGGGUGAGACGGGUCAGAGGUGGAGUCAGGAAGUGAGACGGGUCAGAGGUGGAGUCAGGGGGUGAGAUGGGUCAGAGGUGGAGUCAGGGGGUGAGACGGG